GGAAAGGCGCGCGAUACAGGGUGACAGCCCCGUACACAAAAAUGCACAUGCUGUGAGCUCGAUGAGUAGGGCGGGACACGUGGUAUCCUGUCUGAAUAUGGGGGGACCAUCCUCCAAGGCUAAAUACUCCUGACUGACCGAUAGUGAACCAGUACCGUGAGGGAAAGGCGAAAAGAACCCCGGCGAGGGGAGUGAAAAAGAACCUGAAACCGUGUACGUACAAGCAGUGGGAGCACGCUUAGGCGUGUGACUGCGUACCUUUUGUAUAAUGGGUCAGCGACUUAUAUUCUGUAGCAAGGUUAACCGAAUAGGGGAGCCGAAGGGAAACCGAGUCUUAACUGGGCGUUAAGUUGCAGGGUAUAGACCCGAAACCCGGUGAUCUAGCCAUGGGCAGGUUGAAGGUUGGGUAACACUAACUGGAGGACCGAACCGACUAAUGUUGAAAAAUUAGCGGAUGACUUGUGGCUGGGGGUGAAAGGCCAAUCAAACCGGGAGAUAGCUGGUUCUCCCCGAAAGCU
rnacentral:rRNA from 1 species